rnacentral:rRNA from 1 species
GCUGGCGGUAGGCUUAACACAUGCAAGUCGAGCGAGAAAGUAUCUUCGGAUAUGAGUAGAGCGGCGGACGGGUGAGUAACGCGUAGGAAUCUACCUAGUAGAAGGGGAUAGCCCGGGGAAACUCGGAUUAAUACCGUAUACCUCCUAAGGGAGAAAGAGGGCCUCUCUUGAAGCUCUCGCUAUUAGAUGAGCCUGCGUAAGAUUAGCUUGUUGGUAAGGUAAUGGCUUACCAAGGCUACGAUCUUUAGCUGGUCUGAGAGGACGAUCAGCCACAUUGGGACUGAGACACGGCCCAGACUCCUACGGGAGGCAGCAGUGGGGAAUAUUGGACAAUGGGCGCAAGCCUGAUCCAGCCAUACCGCGUGUGUGAAGAAGGCCUUCGGGUUGUAAAGCACUUUAAGCAGGGAGAAAAAGCAAUAAGUUAAUACCUUAUUGCCGUGAUGUUACCUGCAGAAUAAGCACCGGCUAAUUC